rnacentral:rRNA from 1 species
GAUGAACGCUGGCGGCGUGCCUAACACAUGCAAGUCGAGCGAACAGACGAGGCGUUUGCUCCUGUGACGUUUGGGGCGGGCGUGUGAGUAACACGUGAAUAACUCACCUAUAGGAGUGGGAUAAGGUCGGGAAACCGGAGCUAACACCGGAGAAUAUAUUGAACCGCAUGGUUCAAUAGUGAAAUACGGCUUUGCUGUCACUUAUAGAUGGAUCCACGCCGCAUUGGCUAGUUGGUAAGGUAACGGCCUACCAAGGCUACGAUGCGUAGCCGACCUGAGAGGAUGAUCGGCCACACUGGAACUGAGACACGGUCCAGACUCCUACGGGAGGCAGCAGUGGGGAAUCUUCGGCAAUGGGCGAAAGCCUGACGCAGCAACGCCGCGUGUGUGAUGAAGGUCUUCGGAUCGUAAAGCACUGUUAUUAGGGAAGAACAGAUGUGUACGUAGCCAUGCAGGUCUUGACGGUACCGAAUCAAAAAGCAACGGCUAACUACGUG